UACGUAGGGGGCAAGCGUUGUCCGGAAUCAUUGGGCGUAAAGCGCGCGUAGGCGGCCCGGUAAGUCCGCUGUAAAAGUCCAGGGCUCAACCCUGGAAAGCCGGUGGAUACUGUCGGGCUAGAGUCCGGAAGAGGCGAGUGGAAUUCCUGGUGUAGCGGUGGAAUGCGCAGAUAUCAGGAAGAACACCUAUGGCGAAGGCAGCUCUCUGGGACGGUACUGACGCUGAGACGCGAAAGCGUGGGGAGCGAACAGG
rnacentral:rRNA from 1 species